UACGUAGGGUGCGAGCGUUGUCCGGAAUUAUUGGGCGUAAAGGGCUCGUAGGCGGUUUGUCGCGUCGGGAGUGAAAACACCGGGCUUAACUCGGUGCUUGCUUUCGAUACGGGCAGACUAGAGGUAUGCAGGGGAGAACGGAAUUCCAGGUGUAGCGGUGAAAUGCGUAGAUAUCUGGAGGAACACCGGUGGCGAAGGCGGCAUCCUGGACCAACACUGACGCUGAGGAGCGAAAGCCAGGGGAGCAAACGGG
rnacentral:rRNA from 1 species